UACGUAGGGUGCGAGCGUUGUCCGGAAUUAUUGGGCGUAAAGGGCUCGUAGGCGGUCUGUCGCGUCGGGAGUGAAAACUCAGGGCUUAACCCUGAGCCUGCUUCCGAUACGGGCAGACUAGAGGUAUGCAGGGGAGAACGGAAUUCCUGGUGCAGCGGUGAAAUGCGCAGAUAUCAGGAGGAACACCGGUGGCGAAGGCGGUUCUCUGGGCAUUACCUGACGCUGAGGAGCGAAAGUGUGGGGAGCGAACAGG
rnacentral:rRNA from 1 species